rnacentral:rRNA from 1 species
UACGUAGGGGGCAAGCGUUGUCCGGAUUUAUUGGGCGUAAAGAGCGUGUAGGCGGCUUGGUAGGUCCGCUGUGAAAACUCGAGGCUCAACCUCGAGACGCCGGUGGAAACCAUCAGGCUAGAGUCCGGAAGAGGAGAGUGGAAUUCCUGGUGUAGCGGUGAAAUGCGCAGAUAUCAGGAAGAACACCCGUGGCUAAGGCGGGACUCUGGGCCGAUACUGACGCUGAGGAGCGAAAGCGUGGGGAGCAAACAGG